rnacentral:sRNA from 2 species
GUAGCACCUCGUUAGGUGAGGCGUCCACACGAAUACAGGCCACUGACCCCGAACGUCGAAAGACGCCCCGGGUCAGGACAGCUCCUCCCGGCUUAAGGGUUGAGCCCAGGUGGCUUCCGGAACAGCGGACACGUCGUGUGGUGUCAAAGCUCUGACGAGAGGGGUGCGGA